rnacentral:rRNA from 1 species
AUUGAACGCUGGCGGCAGGCCUAACACAUGCAAGUCGAACGAGUGGCGGACGGGUGAGUAAUGUCUGGGCAUCUGCCUGAUCGAGGGGGAUAACUACUGGAAACGGUGGCUAAUAGCGCAUACUAUCAGAUUGGCCCUAAUGGGAUUAGCUAGUGGGUGGUGUAUCGGCUCACCAAGGCGACGAGCCCUAGCUGGUCUGAGAGGAGGACCAGCCACACGGGAACUGAGACACGGUCCAGACGCCUACGGUAGGCAGCAGUGGGGAAUAUUGCACAAUGGGCGAAAGCCUGACGCAGACAUGCCGCGUGUAUGAAGAAGGCCGGCGGGUUGUAAGGUACUUUCAGCGGGGAGGCGUUACCCGCAGAAGAAGCAACGGCUAACUCCGUGCCAGCAGCCGCGGUAAUAC